UACGUAGGGGGCUAGCGUUGUCCGGAAUCAUUGGGCGUAAAGCGCGUGUAGGCGGCCCGGUAAGUCCGCUGUGAAAGUCGGGGGCUCAACCCUCGGAUGCCGGUGGAUACUGUCGGGCUUGAAUACGGAAGAGGCGAGUGGAAUUCCUGGUGUAGCGGUGAAAUGCGCAGAUAUCAGGAGGAACACCUAUUGCGAAGGCAGCUCGCUGGGACGUGACUGACGCUGAGACGCGAAAGCGUGGGGAGCAAACAGG
rnacentral:rRNA from 1 species